rnacentral:tRNA from 1 species
UCCGGCGUGGUCUAGUGGCUAGGACACCUGGCUCUCACCCAGGAGGCCCGGGUUCAAUUCACGGCGUCGGAA